rnacentral:siRNA from 1 species
UAAACCAACGAUAACGGCUGUUAG